UACGUAGGUGGCAAGCGUUGUCCGGAUUUACUGGGCGUAAAGAGCGCGCAGGCGGUCGAAUAAGUCGAAUGUGAAAGCCCCCGGCUCAACUGGGGAGGGUCAUUCGAUACUGAUCGACUCGAAGGCAGGAGAGGGUAGUGGAAUUCCCGGUGUAGUGGUGAAAUGCGUAGAUAUCGGGAGGACACCAGUGGCGAAGGCGACUACCUGGCCUGUUCUUGACGCUGAGGCGCGAAAGCUAGGGGAGCAAACGGG
rnacentral:rRNA from 1 species